GGUAAUAUAUAUAUAUAUAUAUAUAUAUAUCUUUCUUCUUCUUUUAUUAAAAUAAAGGUCUAUAGCAUGGUAAUAUAUAUAUACAUAUAUAUAUGUAAGAGAGAAUAGACAAAAAGAAGAAGGUAUCAGUAAAUUAAACAUUAAUUAGACCCAUAAAUAAGUUGAUGAGGAUAUCAAAACAUUAAAAAUUGCUGGGUUAAACAUUUGGCAUAAUGUUUAAGAUGCUGCUUGAGACACCUGCAUCCCAGUUGAAAUGCCUGGGUUCAAGGUGUGGAUCCACCCACGAUUUCAGCUUUCCAUAAAUAUACAAUCUUAGGAAGCACCUUGUGAGGAUUCCAGUAGUUAGGUCUCUGCUACCCAUGAAAGUGACUUAAAGGGGUUUCAAAGUUUUUGGUUCUCAAUUUCAGUCUGGCCCAACCCUAGGCCAGAUGUCUCCAUGAAAAUUGAAUGAGUGAUCCAGUUACUAUCGCUGUCUCUUCUCUGCCUCAGAAAUAAAGAAACAUUAAAUAUGUGAAAAUUCUUUAAAGAGUAUACAAUUGAGCAGAAACAUCAAUUUUUAACAAUUAUCCAUGGACAAAAGUACCUUUCUUUCUCUCUGUUUCUCCCCACCUCUGGCACUUGCCCUUCAAUUAAUAAAGUAAAAAAAAAAAGAAAUAAUAUAAAAUUCCUACAAAGUCCAAGGGAUCAAAAACAAAUAACAAAAAAAAAAUUGACAGAGACACAUUAUAAUUAGUUUGUCAAAAAUCAGAGGUUAAGCUUAGAAAGAAAUACGAAGAGAUACUCUUCAUAUACGAGGGAACACAAUUGAGGUUUCUUAGCAGAAAUCCUGCAAGUCAAGAGAGGGUGAUAUAACGUACAGAUAUUCUUCUGUAUUUGUGAGCUCUAGAUUCUUGAAUUUAAGCAAUAAUGGAUUAAACAUAUUGGAUGAAAAAAUCCAUCUGAAUUAAACAUUUAUAGACAUGCUCUUGACGUUAUUCCCAGCACAAUGUAGUUCAGUAACUAUGUACAUUGUGUUAGCUAUUAUAAAUGAUGUAGAAAUGAGCUAAAGUAUACACAAUGACAUGUAUCUGGUAUUUUACAAAUUGUGAUUCUCAGGGUUAGGGAUCACGAACGAAUCCUUCAUUAACUCCAAGGCAAGAAGCGUUCAAAAUGCGGAAAGAAAAGCAAAACUACCAACUCCAAAUACUUUAACUGGAAUAGUUGCCUGUCAGAAAUGUUGGAACAACAACUUUCCCAAUUAAAAAAAAAAAAAAAAAACACUGAGGAAGUUCAUCACCACUGUAUCGUCUUAAGAUAAAUGUUAGAGGAUUUUUAAGCAGAAAUUAUAAGCUGCCAAGUAAUAACAUGAAAGCAGUUGAAAGUGUAAAACUCAUGAGUAAAGAUAAUUAUAUGGUCAAAAUAUGUACAGUAUAACAUUGUAAAUUAUUUGUUACUCUAUUAUAAAGAUUAUAAAAAAAUAAAAUAAAAUAAAGAUUAUAAAACA
rnacentral:lncRNA from 1 species